GGGAAUUACAGGGAGACAAAGGUGCCGUACUUCCUCCCCAGCGGUAGUGUGUAUUACAGGGAGCUGAAGGUGUCAUCCUUCCUCCCCAGCAGUUAAGGGAGUCCCAGGGAGCUGAAGGUGCUGUCCUUCCUACCAAGCGGCAGUGUGUGUUACAGGGAGCUGAAGGUGUCAUCCUUCCUCCCCAGCAGUCAAGGGAAUUACAGGGAGACAAAGGUGCCGUCCUUCCUCCCCAGUGGCAGUGUGUGUUACAGGGAGCUGAAGGUGUCGUCCUUCCUCCCCAGCAGUCAAGGGAAUUACAGGGGGACAAAGGUGCCGUCCUUCCUCCCCAGCCGCAGUGUGUGUUACAGUCCCCUGUUCCUGCUACUCUCUCUGGACUAGGAGAGGUCUACCCACUGCAAGCUGGAUCCUGGUCUUGUGUCCAGGGUGGGUGGAGGACGGCGAGACCCCAACCAAGCUGCGGCGGUUUGUGGGGUCUAUGGUGGUUAUGGUGUUCCAGUGCAGUGAUUAUGGUACUCGCAAGUACUAGGAAGCAGCAAUAGACGGAGGUACCCGGUCGGGGUGCCUGGUGGUCCGUAACAGACUGUGAUCUUAUUCAGCUCCCUGUAGUCCACACAGGGACUUAGGCUACCAUCCUUUCUCCCCACAAAAAAGAUUCCAGCCCCUGCUGGAAAAGUAGAAGGUCGGAUAAAUCCUUUUGCCAAAUUUUCAUUGAUGUAUUCUUUGAGAACAAGAAGUUAUUUUUUCGCCAAGGUGUAUAUUCUACCAAACGGCAUGGGGGCUCCAGGUAACAGGUCUGUGAGGCAAUUAUAUU